rnacentral:rRNA from 1 species
GAUGAACGCUGGCGGCGUGCUUAACACAUGCAAGUCGAACGAAGCAUUUAGAACAGAUUAUUUCGGUAUGAAGUUCUUUAUGACUGAGUGGCGGACGAGUGAGUAACGCGUGGGUAACCUGCCUUGUACUGGGGGAUAGCAGCUGGAAACGGCUGGUAAUACCGCAUAAGCGCACGGUGCCGCAUGGCACAGUGUGAAAAACUCCGGUGGUAUAAGAUGGACCCGCGUCUGAUUAGCUAGUUGGUGAGAUAACAGCCCACCAAGGCGACGAUCAGUAGCCGACCUGAGAGGGUGACCGGCCACAUUGGGACUGAGACACGGCCCAGACUCCUACGGGAGGCAGCAGUGGGGAAUAUUGCACAAUGGAGGAAACUCUGAUGCAGCGACGCCGCGUGAGUGAAGAAGUAAUUCGUUAUGUAAAGCUCUAUCAGCAGGGAAGAUAGUGACGGUACCUGACUAAGAAGCUCCGGCUAAAUACGUGCCAGCAGCAGCCGCAG